rnacentral:lncRNA from 1 species
CAAGAUGCAUCAUGCAGUGCGACUCAACUUGAGAAUUCCUGGCCACAUUACCCGUAUGUCGAAUGAUCGCACAGUACAACCUUUAGAAGCUUGUAAUGAGUACACAACUGGGUGCAAGUAGUUUCGAAAUGAAUUUGCCUCAAAUGAUUUCUUGCUCACAUCCCUUGGGUUAUGAUAGAUGGAAAAUUCAUAUACGAUCCAGAGUCAGAGGUGUUGAUUCUCUUAUUAAGGUCAGCUGAUUUCUAUUAUCCACUCUGACAAUCUCCUAUUAGUGUUUUUUUUUUAAUUUUGCACUUCUGUAUAAUUGAAAUGCCACUCACUUGUUUCCUUCUUCACAGGUCAGAUAGUAUGUUGAGGCUAUUUGCUUUUUAUCGGUGUUUGUCAAGGUAAUUAGUACUGCCUCAUAGGGUUGAUUGCUCACAGAUGAAAUUAUAACUUUUAUCUUAAAAUUUAAUAGCAUACACAGAUAGACGAUUUUUAGUCUAAAGUUUUUUUAUUCACUUCAGUCAAAAUUUUAGAUUGCAGAUUAUUGUCAAGUAUUUCAUUACAAUUUUUUCAUUUUUUAUUUUAAACCAGAAUAUGAGUAUAACAUUUUGGAGCGUGCAUACUCUGAUGCAUGCAAUUAACUGUUUUUAAUCAUUGGAUUUUGUAAUUAAUGAUGGUAAGAUGUGUACUUAUUCUGUCUUCCAACAACCUUGCCCUCUUUCUUCGGUCGCAUAUCUAAUGAAUAUUUCUCUGUUUAGUUAAGGAUGAAUGCUUGGAGUGGGGUACUUGGUAACAUUUCUGCCUCAGAUGAAUCCCUGAAGAAAUGCCUACGGUUCCUGAGACCAAAUACAGGUCUGAUUCAAACAGCACCUUUCCCAGAAAAUAUGAUCCAAGGCAAAGUCAUGUUCUGAUAAUGUUUCCUUAAGUACAAAGUUGCAAGGAAACUUGAUUCAUUAACUACAGUUUUUUAUUUUUAGGACCUUGUAUCUGAAAGGUUCAGUGUAUUUUUUUUUUUUCAAAUUAUUUGUUCAGAUCUCAGAGGAGUAUAUGGUUUAGAUUACAAAACACUUAUGAUCAAUUUCAUUUUUUUUUUUUUAAUCUCAGGGAGAAGAAGUGGUCAGUUUCAAUCCGGAAUUGGAAUAUGGCAAUUUGGUUCAAGCACACACACCCGGUCACUUGGUCAGUGAACCUGAGCUUUAUGCAGUUUUUUCAACUUAGUGAUUUUUGGAACACAUAUUGGUGUAAGGAAAUCAAAAGAAAUUUAUGCAUAGUCAAAUUCUGAUAUUUGCUAUAUAUUAUACAUUCUAAAGUUUCUCCAGUUUGUUCUCAGAUUACCAUCAUUUUUUUGCCUUCACCCAAAAAAAAAAAAAAAAUCGAGUGGCUUUCCGGUGGAUAUUUAAUCGGAGGUAUGACUGGAUUUUUUUCACUUCUGUAAAUCUUGCAUUUUAAACUGGCAAAUUUAACUUUAAUUUUAAUACGACUUUGUUGGUGCCUUGUGCUCCAGAAACUAGAAAGAUGUGUAGUUUUCAGAUAAAGGGGCUUGUAAAUUCUCUAGUAAGAAUCCAAUAAUUUGCUUUUGCACGUUCAUUUUAUUUGUGGAUCCUUGCAUCUGAAUUUGAUCAAUCCAAAAGGAAUUGCUUUUAGACAGAAGAAGAAUUGCAGUACCUAGCCUAUGACAUAGUAUAUGGACCUGCAAACCUGUAACUAUUAGUUUGAGGUAAAAAAUUCAUGACCCUCACAUGUUAACUUCUUCUAGUUACUUUCAUGAAAAACACAUUUAAGAAAUUUGCAAUUUUUUGUUAGUUUCGUAUCCGAUGUUGUUUUCUGUUUUAGCAUUUGUAGAAUCUACUGUAUUAUAUUUUGGCAGUUGCAGUAUCUGAGGUAUGUUUUGCAUUUAACUUGCUUUAUUUGUUUUGCUUGUGACUUAAGAACACCAAUAUUUGCCAGAGAUUUAGAGAAGCAUAUCAAGCUGCUUGGCAAACUUGACAAACUUCAAGAUCCUCCAUUCUUCACAACGCAAAACUUGUGAGUACACCUAUGCCCGCAAUUAUUGUGAAAUGCUUGCAAUUUUGAUGCGCUGAAAUGGUUUGUUGAUGCAAAGGUUUAAACUUUUAAGAUUUACCCUGCAGGGUAGUUGGAUGCUGUAUACUCGAAAAGCGACCAACAUCAAGAACUAUGACUCCAAGACCGGGUUUGCAUUAAUUCAAUCAGCUGAAAUCAUGAUGCAAAUGACACUAUCAGCUGGACUUAGAGACCGGUCAGAUCAAUCAUCCAUUUUAUCAACAGUUAAUGUCAUGAUGGUGGCUAUUAGAGGAAACAAAGGAUGUGUUGGAAUCAAUGUGAACAAUGAGAAGAAUGAGAGGAGCUUUGAUUAUACGUAGGUUCAAUGAACUCAUGCUGGUAAGUGGUAAUUAAAGAAAUUUGUGCGCUUAGUAGCAUUUCAAUAUUUUCUGUUUGGGAUAUAGUUGAUGAGUUGAUACUCUGAUUAAGAAGCCUGAUUAUAGUAGCUGACUUUUUUUUUGUGGUUUGCUGUUGAUUUUUCUUUUGAUUAUUUUUUCAACAUUAGGUUGAUCUGUUGAAGAACAAGCUUGGGUUGAUUAUGCUUUAACUACAAGGAAGUGCCAGACUUGGAUGCAGGCGUUCAGCUUUUAAUGGGUAAGAACAAAUGUAUGCUUUAACCAUGUUUCUCACUUAUUACAAUGCACGCAUUGAAGGCAUCUGAGCUGAUCCUGAAAAAGUGAUGGAAAUACUUCUCUGUUUACAUAAAACAGGACAAGAGAUCUCUGAUCAUGCCUGAGAAUUAGUUGCAUUGAAAUUUCUACCAUUGCCAAAAAUGGAAUAAACUAGGAAUACAUUAGCUUAAGACUCAAUUUUGAGAAGGCAGUUUGUACAUGCAGCCUAAAAAAUCAUGUCCGUGUUGUAUACUUGUACGUUUCUUUGGGAAAUGAAAGAUUCUGUGUGUUCUAUUAUUUCAAGUUUGCUGAAAUCACAUUUGUUUUCUUAGAUGCUUUUGAGAAGGUAACAACAGCAAUUUCAAAAAUGCUGGGGUAAGAUGCAUCACGCAGUGCUACUCAACAUGAGAAUUCCGGCCGCAUUACCUGUAUGUUGAGUGAUCGCACAGUACAACCUUUAGAAGCUUGUAAGGAGUAGACAACUAGAUGCGAGUAGUUUCAAUAUGGAUUCGCAUCAAAUGAUCUCUUGCAAGUGAUUACUAUAACCUCUAUCCCAAAAUUCUUGGAACUGGUCAUACCAAUAAUGAAGUAUUGUGUAUGUUGAAGACAUAGCUCAAGGCCUUGCGAAAGCUUCGUCAGCCUUUGUAUUGGAAAACAGUUGGUUGUAGUUGCUUCUGAAUGAUAUUGUUAAUAGAUACUGUAAAAAUGAACUGUGCCACUCAUUUUCAGAGCCCUGUUAAGAUGUGUUGGUAAUGUGUUUGAAGGUUGUUUGAUUUAUGUUGUAUUCAGCUAUAAAUCAAAGAUUCAGAACAUGGUUAUGUUACUGGUUUCCAAAUCAAAAAAUUGCCUUGUGAUGUUAGUGUUCAUUGUUUUCACAGGAGAUCAGGUUCCCUGUUGAUGAAUCAAGAAGGCAAACGCAUCCAUGUCUUAAGUUCAAAUGUGUCUCUUCUAUUUUCUAUUACUGACUCCUUUAUUUUGAUUUCUUCAUUGUAAUGGAAUUGGUUUUUUAUUCCAAAUUAGUCAAAACCUCCUAGAGUCAUUAAGUUCUGUUAGCAUUUGAAGAUAGAACUAGAACUAAAUGAUUGACUGGAUUAAAUUCCGAUAAAGAAUUAAGUUAUAUAUUUAGAGAUAUUAUGUUUUUUUUUUUCAUUUGUUCAAUUUGGUUAGUGGUGAUUUCUUAAAGACUCAAUCCAUGUGCGUUUAUGCAUUUUUAUUUUGCCUUAAUUUCUGUUUCUUGGGGAGUUUAUACAGAUUCUUAUUUUAUGCUUCACAUGCCACAUGAAAGAUCGAAGCCUUUUGUGUGAUUAGAACUGACUUGCAUCACAGAAGUAGAUUGAUAGAGUAGAUAAUAGUAGAUUUCGCUUUAGUAUCGGAAAUUCCAUAAUUAUGCUUUUCUCUGCACUAUUUUCAAUAAAAUUAUAAAAAUCAAAACAAAAUUAUUACACAGUAAAGACUUUAGAGACAAGUACCCCCAAUAGGAUCAAGCAAAUAUGCUCUGCACAAAAUUAUUUCUUGUUCUUUUUCUUUUUGACAAUUUUAUUUGUGGUUUCAACUUUUAUGCUUUAUUGUCAUAUCUCGUUGAGGGCUCCGCUGCACCCAUUACAACUUACCCCCAUAUUGUCUUUUACUGACUAAACCGUUAGAUUUGAUGCUGAAUUUUAAUUAUACCAUCAAAUUUCGUUUAGCUCCUUAAACUCCAUUUUAUUUGUAAUUUCUUCAUAAAAUAUUCAAAGCUUCAUCAAGCUCCUAAUGGACCAUCAUGGCUAGGGGUGCGUUAGAGCCGAACUGAAAUAUGUUAGUUCAGUUCAGUUUGGUCAGUUUAAAUUGAAUGGUUUAGGAAAUAUAAACUGAUCAAUUUUAAUUUUGAAUUGAACUGAACCGAAAAUCAAUUGGUUCAGUAUUAGUAUUUUUGCAUAAAUAUAAAUUAUUAGCGAUUAUAAUUAAAUUGGACUAAAAAAAAUUCAAACUAAGGUGAAAAACAUCAAAUCUUAGAUAAUAUAAAAGAAAAAAUAUUAAAUUUUAUAAACCAAAAUGAACCGAAUUAUUUUUACUCAGUUUGGUUCAUAUUUGGUUCGUAAUUUUUUAAACCAAAUUGAUUUAUAUCCACACCCUAAUCAUGGCCCUCUAUCUUCAGUCAUUCACCCUUGAGUUUGAUGCCAAUUGUUGGGUUUCAAAUUAUUAUACACUCAAAUGAAACCCCUCAUAACCAAAAACUAACAGAAACAAUAAGAACACGAUGUUAAUAUCUUAAAUCAAUCACAAAAAAGCACUCAAAAUUAAUUGAUUAGGAGCAAUUAACAACAAAAGAUUUGAUGGUUCAAAAUCAUAAUGUGACCUAGUUCCAUCCAAGAAUCAUACUAAUUGCUUUACUAGUUGUCAAAUUGUUGUGCAAAUUUUAUUAAACUCGCAAGUGCACGAAUCUAUUGUAGAAUAGAUCAAUGGUGACGAGUGUCGAUCCCAUAAGGAGGUUGAUUUUUAAUUAUGUGUAGAAUUAAUGUUCUAUGAGGAUGGUUGGAUUUGUGGUGGAAGUGAUUUAGAUUAUACUAGAAUUUAAAUUGGAAUGGUAGAAUUAAAUUAAAGUGGAAACUAUUAUAAUUGAAGCGCUUGGGUAUUUGGAUCCGUAUCAACAUGCACCAUUGGCUAAAUAUUCCUUAUUAGUAUCAAUUAAAUCAUGAGGGGGGAAUCCACACCUCAUGAACUACACUCUAAUCAAUAUGGUGCUAAGGGCUUAUCGUGCCAAAUAAUAAUAACCUUAUACUAGGGAGUCGGUGAAACUAUGGUAAUAUCUAGACAAGAUUAUUACUAUUUGUCGACGAAAAGUCAAAACAUCCACAAAAAUUAGAGGGGAUGAGAAAGUAAAUUUACCAAUUAAAGCCCAUGGCACAUGUUGAGACUUCACUUUCUACCCAAGCUUGAAAGAAAAUUAGCUACUCAUAAUUAAACUAUGGAUAAAAUGAAAAUUUAUUAAAAUACAUAGAAAAUACAAGAUAGAAAAGAAAUUAUAGAAAAUGGAGCUCAAAAAUGAAUUCAGAGAUGCCAAAUUAGGGGGGAGAGACUCCCUUUUUAUAGAUAUUUGAUUAAAUCAUGGCCAUCGAAUUAAAACCAGUUUGGACACUCAGGAUUGUGCCACGUCAUCAAUCAACAGUACGCGGUUUGAACAGUGACACGGUUUGACCACGCGGUUUGAACAGUCAACCGGCUUGAAUAGUGACGCGGUUUGGUUGAAAAUAAUCCUAUUUAUAUGCAUGUACCGUACGCGCGAUUUUUGGUCUACUAACAUGCUGCAACGUCACCGAUCAACAAUGCGUAAGAAUUUUAUCCAAUAGAAUCGUGACACCUCAUUAGUCAAUGUCACAUUAACGUUCAAUGCCAUGUCAUCGUUCCGUAGGUGUGAAUAAUGUCGUGAACAGUAACAUAGACAGUAUCGUACGUGUAAAUAGUGUUGUGUAUGUGAACAGUGAUAUUUUUCCUUUUAUGCUCCUCCUACAGUUUUCGACUGUUCUAAGUUCAAAAGUGAUGUCCGUUUUGCCGUCUGAUCUCUCGUUUAUUGUGAAAAGACCAUGAUGCCUUUAAAAUAUAUAAAAUACUUAAUUAAAAUAAAACACACAUAAUUAAAUCACAAGAAGCUUAAAUACAUAAAAGUAGAAGUGUUAGUAAGACUUGAAAUGUAAAAUGACGAUUUUCUCCUUUAUAAAUAUACAUUUUCUAACACUCAACACAAAUACAAGAUCACAAGAUUGUUUAUCACUCGACAGAGAAAUUGUUUUUAGAAGAAAUACUCCUCAAUUUUUCUGUUAAUAGUUAUGAAUCAACACCCGCAUAAAGGCUAUUGAUUUACUUUUCCUUAUUUCCAACAUAGUCCAAACACUUUUCAUGUUACAGGCGUAGUGCACCUUCAGAAACUUUACAGCUCCUCUUAAAACCUCAAGCCUAUAGAGUGUAAUUUCGCACUAUAUGCUCAGUCUUCUCAUGAUGUUUCUGAUUUAUUUCUCGGACGAGUAACACUUUUAGCUGUCAUAAUACAAUGUAAUUGACUUUUAGCUGUCAUAAUUUUGAGAUCAUUACUUUUAAUUAAAUGAUCUCCUCUACAGCUUCUACCUAUGUAGUGUUUUAGACCUCUAUAGUUGAUCAAGCAUGUUCAAGGUGAAGGCUUGUUUUCCAAUCUAUAGUCCAAUUAUAGACUGGAAAUGGUUAGGCUUAAUGCACCUUCAAAAGCUUCACAACUUAUAUAGAAACCUUAAGCCUUAUAGAAUGCUACAAAUUUUAAAUCCACAUACUUAGUGCUCUUAUGAUUUGUUUGAUUUUUGCUUAGAUGAAGAGCACUUUAGCUAUAGACUACAUUGUAACUAAUUCAAAGCAUGCCUUAGCUACGAGAUCAUUCAUUCUAGCCAAAUGCCCCCUUUAGAGAUUCUGCUAUUGUUGUGUAUUCAGCCUCUAUAUUUGGCAAAGCAAUUACAUGUCGAAGGCUUGCUUGCUUUCCAGUUAACAGCGCAAUUACAUAGAUUACAGGUGUAACCAGGCAAAGAACUUAGUUAUUCUGCCAAGGUCUCCAACAUACUCCAAAUCCAUAUAACCGCCAGACUUCAAUCUUUAGACUCCAUAGAUCAAACCAUAACUUAGUGUGCCUUUCAAUCUCAGGUAACAUUUUACUGUUUUCCACGUCUUGCCAUGUACUUGCUGCUAACACUAACAAUUUGAGAAAUGUUAGGCAUCGUAAGCAGCCGACAACACUCUUCUUCAUUUCUUCAUUGUCAAUUUCCUUCUUGGAACAUUGCUCCAUUGAGAGUCUACUAUCAUUGCUCCAAUUAUUAUUAUUUUUGUUUUUUUAAAAAAAAAAAUUAACCCUACAAUAAGAGUAUAAGACUAAGCAACGGUCCUUUUUUUUCCCAUUCUUGAGCAUGAAGUAUUUGAGUAUGCAAUAAAAAUUGUUUAUUGAUAAUUAAAAGUUAGUAGUGGGUGGCUUUAGGUUUUGUUUACAAAAUUGACAACAAAUUGAGAUUUUUCAAAUUCAUAGGUAAGAAACUUUUCAUUUAUUCAUAGAUUUUCCGGUUUAAACUUUAAAGAAAACUUAAAAGAAAAAGAUGUAUCAUUAGACUUGUAAUUAAAAAAAUUUAAUAUUGUAUGAUCUGUUCGAUAUGCAUAAUUUAAAUAAACAUUAAUAUAGAUGUUAUAUAUCCUAAAACUUAAUUGACUUAAUUCUUACGGUGCAAGGAAGAGGUUUCCAAGUUUAAAUCUAAAGUCUUGUAUUUAAUUUGGGGUCGGGAAAGCACCGGGAAAUAAAUGUAACAAAGGAAAAAAAAAAAAAAAAGAAUGACAGUCUGAGUGGAGCCAACACGGUUUUGAAAAAAGUGCAAAAAAGGGUUUAAAAAAAAAAAACGCGGUUUGUAAAGGAAAUAAAAGCUUUUCAUUGAAUUAAGACCACUACACUCAAAUACUCUAUUAUCACCAACGAGGUCGUGGUCUAGUGGUGCCAGGGGCUAGGCUUGGUAGGGCGAACUACGGUUCGAUCCCCCGCACGCACGUUGGGAGGAGUUUAAAACCUUAACCCCGGGACGCGCUCCGAAACCGGAUUAGUCGGCCCGAUGGGUUCGGAUACCGGUUGGUUAGCACCAAAAAAAAAAAAAAAAAAUACUCUAUUAUCGUUUGUUUGCUUGCUUGUGGAAAUAAAAGUCUCAUGUUUCUUUGAAAGGUAAGCAAGUGUGAGUGUUUCUAUCUAGAGCUGGAAAAUGCAUUUCCGUGCAACUUACUUGAUGAAUGAAGUUUUCAUCUCUGACCUUGAUGUUUCCCUGAGCUGCAUUCGUUGCAGCUGAUGUAUUUCAUUUUGUUUUCGAAGGAGUGACACAAAAUCUCCUUUGUUAAGGUGAGAAUUUAGAGUGGCUUUAACUGUUAACAAAUAGCCUAAUGUAAGACUUAAUCAACUUCCUGCCCUGUUGUAUGCUUAUGAAUUUUGAUAGAGUUAUGAGUUUGCAGAAGCUACUGUAUUAUAUGUUGAUAGAGGCUGUAAAAAUGAGGCAGAUCAAACACACGUUUAAAUUUCAGUGACAAUUUACUGGAAGUAAAUUUCCUAUGACCCUACAUGUGACUAAUUGAUGAGAAGUUGACAAAUGACAAAAGAAAUUGUACGAGCUUUGCAGGCUGGCAUGCCGAUAUUGACUGCAUGGCACCAUCCGCCAUUUGGAAGUGAAUAUCAUUAUUCUUUAAUCAACAUGGUGGAGUCCACUGGGACCACACCACAUGGUCAGUCAUAUCUCUAUUCCUCAAUUUUCAGUAUUCCAUACAUCAAAACAAUUUCAGUUUUGUUAUCAAUUAUAAUUUCAUUGUUGGUGACGAUUCUGAUUCCUUUCUUUCUGACAAAACGGAACCAUGUUUGCUGUGGGAGAGAUCUUACUCAACGCCUUCUUUCAGGUGUUGUUCGACAGGUUGGCUUCCCGCGAUUUGCUCAGCUUUGUCCGUCAACUUGGAGGCGGGGUCGAUUCCGAGCUCAAGAAGUGGGAAAGAAAGCUGAAGAUGAUUCAGGCGGUGCUCAACGAUGCAGAGGAGAAGCAACUGACUGACGAGGCUGUGAAGACGUGGCUGGACGAUCUCCAAGACUUGGCUUAUGACGCUGAGGACAUUCUUGAUGAGUUUGCUACUCAAGCUUUGGAAAGCAAGUUGAUGGCGCAAAAUCAGGAUAGCUCUGGCCAGCUUCUCAGUUUCAUCCCGGUUAGUUUGAAUCCGAAUGCUGUUAGGUUCAAUUAUGGCAUGAGGUCCAAGAUUAACGAUAUUACCAGCCGGUUGGAGCAACACUGCAAAGAUAGAAUUGAACUUGGGCUGCAACGGAUUCCUGAAGGGGCAUCAUCAACUGCUGCUGCUGCACACCAGAGGCCACCCAGUUCAAGCGUCCCACCAGAACGUGAAGUUUUUGGUAGAGAAGAAGAUAAGGCCAAAAUUCUUGAUAUGGUAUUGGCCGAUAGCCCAAGUGAUCUUGCCAACUUUGUUGUAAUACCCAUUGUUGGCAUGGGCGGGAUAGGAAAAACAACUCUCGCUCGGGAGGUUUACAAUGACAAGGCCGUUGGAGAUUCCAAGUUUGAUGUAAAAGCAUGGGUUUGUGUAUCUGAUGUCUUUGACGUUUUGGGCAUCUCAAAGGCGCUUCUCGAGUCAAUCACCCGCAGGCCAUGUCUUCUAAACAGUUUAAACGAAGUGCAGGUUGAAUUGAAAGUAGCUGUGGAUAAAAAAAGAUUCUUGCUGGUCUUAGAUGAUGUUUGGAACGAGGACUACAGCUUGUGGGUAGACUUAAAAGCUCCGUUCCUGGGUGCUGCACCAAACAGCAAGAUGAUCGUCACCACACGCAAUUCAAGUGUUGCAUCAACAAUGAGACCCAUUGAUCGUCACCGCAAGCAAUUCAAGUAUUACGAUCUCAAGAGUCUGUUAGAUGAUGAUUGCUGGUCCAUUUUCAUAAACAAUGCAUUUGAAUCUACAGACCUUAGCGCACAUCGAAUUUCAGAAUCGUUCCGCGAGAAAGUUGUUGGCAAGUGUGGGGGCUUGCCUCUGGCAGCAAAAACACUCGGGGGCCUUCUUCGUACUAAAACGCAUGCUGAGUGGGACGGUAUAUUGGAUAGCAAAAUAUGGGAUUUACCUCGGCAAAGCAGCAUUCUUCCCGUGUUAAGAUUGAGUUACCAUCAUCUUCCUUCUCAUUUGAAAAGAUGUUUUGCUUUUUGUGCCAUCUUUCCAAAAGAUUAUGCAUUCACUGAGAGGGAGCUGACUUUCUUAUGGAUGGCUGGAGGUAUUAUUCGACAGUCAAGAAACAAUGAGCAGCUCGAAGAUUUGGGCAGCAAGUGCUUUGGUGAUCUAGUGUCGAGGUCAAUUUUUCAACAAACAGCAAUCUCUGAUAGUUCUAAAUUUGUAAUGCACGACCUUAUCCAUGAUCUUGCUGAAUUGGUCUCUGGAGAAACCAUAUUUAGGUUAGAGGAGGCCAAUACUCUGUCAAGAAGUUUUGAAAGGGUUCGCCAUUCUUCCUAUGCUUGUGGUGAAUAUGAUGGUAAAAAUAUGUUCGAGGUUUUCAAUGAAAUUGAACAUCUACGAACAUUCUUGCCAUUACGCUUACGCAUACGAGGUACUUUUUACAUAACUAGAACGGUUCUAUCCGAUUUGCUGCCAAAGUUCAAAAAAUUGAGGAUGCUAUCUUUAGAAGGAUACUGUAUUGGUGAGUUACCGAUUCCAUUUGAAGAUUUGAGACUUUUAAGGUUUCUCAACCUUGCUGACACUGACAUAAGAAGUUUACCCGAGUCAACAUGCAAAUUGCUGAACUUGGAAAUUUUGAUAUUAAGAAAUUGUUCCCUUUUGAUAAAGCUUCCACCCAAAAUGAGGAAUUUGAUCAAUUUACGCCAUUUGGAUUUAAGAGGUGCGAAGUUGCUGAAGGAGAUGCCAGUCGGAAUGAAAGAGCUGAAGAAGCUUCAAACAUUGUAUAAUUUCAUUGUGGGCAAGGGUGAAACUGCAUCCGGUUUGGAAGAUUUAAAAAGUUUAAACUUUCUUUGUGAUGAACUUUGCAUUGUUGGAUUAGAGAAUGUGAAUAAUCCACAGAAUGCAAGAGAAGCCGCAUUAUGCGAGAAGCGCAAUCUUGAAGCAUUGACCCUAGAUUGGGGGUCUCAAUUUGACAAUUCUCGAGAUGGAGUAGUAGAAGAGGAUGUACUGGAAAUUCUACAGCCUCAUAAAUGUAUUAAAAAGGUGGCAAUCAGGAACUAUGGUGGUGCAAGAUUUCCACAUUGGAUAGGAGAUCCUUUGUUCUCCAAAAUAGAGUUCCUUGAAUUGGAGAACUGUGACAAUUGUGCAUCUUUGCCAUCGCUUGGCCGUUUGAGGUCCAAGAUUAACGAUAUUACUAGCCGGUUGGAGCAACUCUGCCAAGAAAGAAUUGAACUUGGACUGCAACGGAUUACCGGAGAGGCAUCAUCAACUGCUGCUGCUGCACACCUGAGGCCACCCAGUUCGAGUGUCCCAACAGAACGUGAAGUAUUUGGAAGAGAAGAAGAUAAGGCCAAAAUUCUUGAUAUGGUAUUGGCCGAUGCCCCAAGUGAUCAUGCCAACUUUGUUGUAAUACCCAUUGUUGGCAUGGGCGGAAUCGGAAAAACAACUCUCGCUCGGGAGGUUUACAAUGACAAAGCCGUUGGAGGUUCCAAGUUUGAUGUAAAAGCAUGGGUUUGUGUAUCUGAUGUCUUUGACGUUUUGGGCAUCUCAAAGGCGCUUCUCGAGUCAAUCACCCGCAGGCCUUGUCUUCUAAACAGUUUAAACGAAGUGCAGGUUGAAUUGAAAGUAGCUGUGGAUAAAAAAAGAUUCUUGCUGGUCUUAGAUGAUGUUUGGAACGAGGAGUACAGCUUGUGGGUAGACUUAAAAGCUCCGUUCCUGGCUGCUGCACCAAACAGUAAGAUGAUCGUCACCACACGCAAUUCAAAUGUUGCAUCAACAAUGGGGCCAGUUGAACAUUACAAUCUCAGGAGUCUAUCAGAUGAUGAUUGCUGGUCCAUUUUCAUAAAGCAUGCAUUUGAAUCUAGAGAUCUUAACGCACAUCAAAUUUCAGAAUCAUUCCGCAAGAAAGUUGUUGCCAAGUGUGGAGGCUUGGCCCUGGCAGCAAAAACACUCGGAGGCCUUCUGCGUACGACGAGGCAUGAUGCGUGGGAUGAUAUAUUAGAGAGCAAAAUAUGGGAUUUACCUCGACAAAGUGGGGUUCUCCCAGUAUUAAGAUUGAGUUACCAUCAUCUUCCUUCUCAUUUGAAAAGAUGUUUUGCUUUUUGUGCCAUCUUUCCAAAAGAUUAUGAAUUCACUGAGAAGGAGCUGACUUUCUUAUGGAUGGCUGGAGGUAUUAUUCGACAGUCAAGAAACAAUGAGCAGCUGGAAGAUUUGGGCAGCCAGUGCUUUGGUGAUCUAGUGUCGAGGUCAAUUUUUCAACAAACAACAAUCUCUGAUAGUUCUAAAUUUGUAAUGCAUGACCUUAUUCAUGAUCUUGCUGAAUUGGUCUCUGGAGGGACCAUUUUUAGGUUAGAGAAGUCCCCCAACUUGUCGUCAAGCGGAUUUGAAAGAGUUCGCCAUUCUUCCUAUGCCGGCGGUUUGCAUGAUGGUAAAAAUAAGUUUGAGGUUUUCUAUGAAAUUGAACAUCUACGAACAUUCUUGCCAUUACGCUUACGCAUACGAGGUACUUUUUACAUAACUAGAACGGUUCUAUCCGAUUUGCUGCCAAAGUUCAAAAAAUUGAGGAUGCUAUCUUUAGAAGGAUACUGUAUUGGUGAGUUACCGAUUCCAUUUGAAGAUUUGAGACUUUUAAGGUUUCUCAACCUUGCUGACACUGACAUAAGAAGUUUACCCGAGUCAACAUGCAAAUUGCUGAACUUGGAAAUUUUGAUAUUAAGAAAUUGUUCCCGCUUGAUAAAGCUUCCACCCAAAAUGAGGAAUUUGAUCAAUUUACGCCAUCUCGAUAUAAGAGGUGCGGAGUUGCUGAAGGAGAUGCCAUUCGGAAUGAAAGAGCUGAAGAAGCUUCAAAUAUUGUACAAUUUCAUUGUAGGCAAGGGUGAAACUGCAUGCGGUUUGGAAGAAUUAAAAAGUUUAAACUUUCUUUGUGAUGAACUUUGCAUUGCUGGAUUAGAGAAUGUGAAUAAUCCACAGAAUGCAAGAGAAGCCGCAUUAUGCGAGAAGCACAAUCUUGAAGCAUUGACUCUAGAAUGGGGGUCUCAAUCUGACAGUCCUCGGGAUGCAGUACUAGAAGAGAAUGUACUUGACACUCUACAGCCUCAUAAACGUAUAAAAGAGCUGGCAAUCAGGCACUAUGGUGGUGCAAGAUUUUCACUUUGGAUCGGAGAUCCUUCGUUCUCCGAGAUGAAGGUCCUUAAAUUGGAGAACUGUGACAAUUGUGUAUCUCUGCCAUCGCUUGGCCUGUUGAGUUCACUUAAGCACCUUGCUGUUAAAGGGCUGAAGAAACUAAAAAGCAUAGAGUCUGAGGUUUAUGGGGAGGGUUUCUCGAUGCCUUUUCCAUCAUUGGGGAUUCUAAGUUUCGAGAAUUUGCCAGAAUGGGAGCAUUGGGACACCGAGAUCAAAGGAAAUGCGCCUGUUGAUAUAUUUCCUCGUCUCCAAGAACUUUCCAUUGCAGAAUGUCCCAAACUCUCUGGACAACUGCCUGAGCUCCUGCCUUCCUUGGAGACACUUGUUGUUAGUAAAUGUGAAAAGUUAGUAGUUCCAUUGUCAAGUUAUCCGAUGCUCUGCAGAUUAGAAGUUGAUGAGUGCAAGGAGCUAGUGUGCGGGACUCUAAUUGAUUUUAAGUUGAUAAAGUCCAUGACUAUUUCAAAUAGUUCAUUAGACAUGAAUGGACGCAAGGGGAUGCUAUACGAUGGUCUAGCUGGCUCUUCACUUCCAAAGCCCAUGACUACUACAAAUGUUUUGGAGUUUGGAAAAUUAUUGAAGCCUGGAUUUCAGAUAUUAGAAAUUUUGGUAAUUGGCAAUUCUGAACAGCUCAAGUCAUGGAGGCAGCAUGGAGAUUGGAGUACUUCGAUUAAACCAGUACAAGGGCUGAAUAUGCUCGCUCACAAUGAGGAGGUAUCAAUUGAAGAAAGUUGCGUUCGUCUUGUUUUGUUUCCAGAGAUCAAUUUCUUUCCCAGAAAUCUGCGCUCUCUUCUAAUUAACAACAACACUGCUUUCAAAUCCUUACCCGAGGAAAUGAUGGAAAACAAUUCACAACUCGAAAGGUUGUAUAUCAAGGAUUGCGACUCUCUAACAUUCAUCGCAAGACGGAGGCUACCAGCAUCUCUUAAAAGGCUUGAGAUAGAAAAUUGUGAGAAAUUGCAACGUCUGUUCGAUGAUGAAGAGGAUGCUUCUUCUUCUUCUCGUGCAUCCUCGUCUUCCCCAGUGAUGCUGCAACACCUGAUUAUAGAGAACUGCCCAGAGCUCACCAGUUUAUCAUCGGGUGUCCAAUUCCUUGAGGCGCUUGAAUACCUCGAGAUACGGGAUUGUCCAAAGCUGGAGUCAAUACCGGAUGGCCUGCACAAUCUUAAAUGUUUACAGAGCAUUUAUAUACGGAAAUGUCCAAGUCUUGUUUCCUUCCCAGAAAGAGGGCUUCCCAACACGAUUUCAAGGGUUGACAUUUGCAGCUGUGACAAGCUCGAAGCCUUGCCCAAUGAUUUGCACAAACUCAACUCUCUUCGAGGUUUAAGCAUCCAGAUCUGUCCAAAUCUUGUAUCGUUUCCAGAAGAAGGUUUUCCUACCAAUCUAACAUCACUUACAAUUGGAUAUUUCAAAAUGUAUAAGACACUCGUCCAGUGGGGGUUGCACAGGCUUACCUCUCUUAGAGACCUCUGGAUCGUUGAAUGUGAUGAUGAAGCAGAGUGUUUUCCAGACGAGGAGAUAGGAAUGACGCUGCCUGCCUCUCUCACUCAUCUGCAUCUUGAUGGAUUCCAAAAUUUGAUAUCUCUGUCUUCGACGGGUUUUCAGAGCCUAACCUCUCUUCAAUCUUUGUGGAUCUGGGAUUGCCCAAAUCUCACAUCAUUUCCAGAGGUGGGCCUUCCAUCCUCACUUUUGGAAUUACACAUUAGAGAUUGUCCAAAGCUUAAAAAAGCGUGCAAAAGGGAUCAAGGAAAAGAGUUGCCCAAAAUUGCUCACAUCCCUUGCGUUGAGAUAGACGGUAAAUUCAUAUACGAUCCAGAAUCAGAGGAGUAGAUUCUAUUACAAAGGUCAGUUGAUUUGUAUUAUCCGCUAUAACAAGCUCCUCCUAAUUUUUUUUUUCUAAGUAAUAAUUUUGCAGUCACUCACGUGAUUCCGUUUUCACAAGUCAGAUUGUAUGUUGAGGCUAUUUGCCUUUUAAUCGCAGAUUAAAUUAUAACACUUAUCUUAAAAUUUAAUACCAUACACAGAUAGACGAUUUUUUUAUCCAAAGUUUCAAUCAAGAAUUGGAGGAUGUGAAUGGGAUUUUUGUGAAAACAUAAUGGAUGAACGAACAUUUCAUCUGUGAUCUCAAAGUCAACAGAAUUUUAUUUACUCGUUGACUUUUCAACUCCUUGGUUGUUGCUGGGUGAAAGAUAAGGGCAAUUACAAGAUAUUUGCAAACUUUGUCAAUUUCUUAGAUGGUAGAUAUAUCGACAUUUUAGAUUUCAGAUAUUUUGAUGCUUUUUUAAUUUUGAUCUAGUAGAAAUACAUAGCCUUCACCGACAGGAAUUGAAAUUGAAAUUUUUGUCUUCAAUGGGUUUUCAAAGCCUCGCCUCUCUUCGAUUUUUGUGGAUCGGGAAUUGCACAAAUCUCACAUCAUUUCCCGAGGUCGAGGAAAAGAGCGGCCCAAACUUGCUCGCAUCCCUUGGGUUAAUAGAUUCUCUUAUUAAGGUCAGCUGAUUUCUAUUAUCCACUCUGACAAUCUCCUAUUAGUGUUUUUCCUUUUGAAAUUUUUUUUCUAAAAUUUUGCAGUUCCGUAUAAUUGAAAAUGCCACUCACUUGUUUCCUAUUAGUAUGUUGAGGCUAUUUGCUUCCUAUUAGUGUUUGUUAAGGUAAUUAGUGCUCCCUCGUCGGUAUGACUGGAUUUUUUUCACUUCCGUAAAUAUUGCAUUUUAGACUGGCAAAUUUAGCAGUAAUUUUAAUUUGAUACUCUGAUUAAGAAGCCUGAUUAUAGUAGCUGACUUUUUUUGUGUGGUUUGCUGUUGUUUAUUCUUUCGAUUAAUUUCAACAUUAGGUUGAUCUGUUGAAGAACAAACUUGGGUUUGAUUAUGCUUUAACUACAAGGAAGAGCCAGACUUGGAUGCAGGCGUUCGGCUUUUAAUGGGUAAGAACAAAUGUAUGCUUUAACCAUGUUUCUCACUUAUUACAAUGCACGCAUUGAAGGCAUCUGAGCUGAUCCUGAAAAUGUGGUGGAAAUACUUCUCUGUUUACAUAAAAUAGACAAAUAGAGAUCUCUGAUCAUGCCUGAGAAUUCGUUGCAUUUCAAAUUUCUACCAUUGCCAAAAAUAGAAUAAACUAGGGAUACAUUAGCUUAAGACUCAAUUUUGAGAAGGAAGUUUGCACAUGCAGCCUAAAAAAUCAUGUCCGUGUUGUAUACUUGUAUGUUUCUUUGGGAAAUGAAAGAUUCUGUAUGUUCUUUUAUUUCAAGUUUGCUGAAAUCACAUUUGUUUUCGUAGAUGCUUUUGGGAAGGUAACAAGAUCAAUUUCAUAAAUGCUGGGGUAAGAUGCAUCACGCAGUGCUACUCAACAUGAGAAUUCCCGGCCGCAUUAACUGUAUGUUGAGUGAUCGCACAGUACAACCUUUAGAAGCUUGUAAGGAGUAGACAACUAGAUGCGAAUAGUUUCAAUAUGGAUUCACAUCAAAUGAUCUCUUGCCAGUGAUUACUAUAACCUCUAUCCCAAAAUUCUUGGAACUGGUCAUACCAAUAAUGAAGUAUUGUGUAUGUUGAAGACAUAGCUCAAGGCCUUGCGAAAGCUCCGUCAGCCUUUGUAUUGGAAAACAAUUGGUUGUAGUUGCUUCUGAAUGAUAUUAUUAAUAGA